GCGCACGGCAGACCUCUGCUGAGCCUUUUCUGUAGGCGUCCCUGGCCAGGUGCGCAGUGUCCGGGACAGGCUACUGCUUGGCAUCCAGCAGCUCAGGGUGGACCUGGGGCAUCAUGAACCCAGAAAGUGGAGUGCCCCGGGCAGGGGUGGCACAGAACUAGAGGACACAGGACUGCAAGAACCUUGAGGCUCAUCUGCUCCAAGCCCCAAAGGGACCCAUGAAUCUGCUGCAGGUGGAUUCAGCCUGGCCUCAUCUGGAGCAGGGAGCUCACUCCCUCUGGGACAGCGCAGGCCACUUCUAGAAGGUCUGCCUUGGAGUUCCCACUGUGGCACAACGGGAGAAGCAGCCUCUUGGUAGCACUGGGUCUCGGGUUCAAUCCCUGGCCCCCCACAGUGGGUUAGGGAUCCAGCAUUGCCGCAGGUGCAGCUUAGGUUGCAGCUGCGGCUCGGAUCUGAUACCUGGCCCAGGAACUCCAUAUGCCACAGGCUGGCCAAAAAAGAAAAAUAAGUACAUAAAUAAUUUUUUAAAAAUUGAAAAAAAAUAUAGAGUUCCUGUUGCGGCUCAGCGGGUCACGAACCCAGUUGGGGGGACUAGAAUACAUGACGAUGCAGGUUCAAACACUGGCCCUGCUCACUGGGUUAAGGAUCUGGCAUUGCUGUGAGCUGUGGUGUAGGUUGCAGAUGCUGCUCAAAUCUAGCACUGCUGUGGCUGUGGCACAGGCUGGCACCUGCAGCUCCAAUUCCACCCCUAACCUGGGAACUUCCAUAUGACAUAUAUUCGGCCCAAAAAGAAAGGAGAAAAUAAAAGAAAAAAAAAAAAAAAAGACAGAAGAUCUGCCUUCUCCUGAGCUGCCCUGUCAGUGCCCCCUGACAACAGCUCAGCCAUCCUGGGUGUUACACAAAAAGCCUGGUGCUGUGGAUUUUGCCCCUCAAGUACCUGAACAGCUCUCAAAUUUCGCCAGGUUUUCAUUUCCACAAGCCGUGCUGCCCCCAGAAUUCUGAGCUUGGGUUUCAGCCCCAAGACGGACAUCGGCUGUAGGACUGAUCCCUGAUCCUGUCUUUGACCUGGUCAGCAGGACAGCAGAGACCUCGUGACAGGCAGGUGCUGGGAGCCACCCCGGAACCUCCCUGGGCCUCUCCAGGGUGCCAUUGCCCAUCCCCGCCAGCCAUCCGGGACCCAGGUUUGUCCCCCCAGGGUCUAUGGGGCAGUUCAAGGAUGGGCCCAGAGCCAGGACCACACCAAGCUGAGCCCCAAGCAUCCUGCACCAUCUGGAAUCCAGGCCUCCGCCACCUUAACAGAACGCCACGUGUUCUCAGCGACCUUGAGCUCAUACUUUUCCAAGGACAAGGUGCAGUGAGUGCAUCACAAGACAAACACCCUGAUGUUAUUCUGGAUGCAAGAGCUGACAUCAUGGAAAAGACACCUUAUGACUCUGAGGCCAAGAAGCUCUGCGCCUCCCAUAAUCAUCCAUGAGGGCAGAUCACUGGCUUCCUACAGGCUUCUAGAAGUGGUGCUUAACAAACACAACUCAGGAAUGACAGCAGCAAUGCUCCAUGGCCAAGGGCCCCGUGGCCACCUUCUGGGCUUCUCCCUGCAAGCCCUCCAGCCGCAGGUGGCUGUGACUGCAAAGCUGCAUGGGGACACCCAAUGGACAUACAGGCAGGGUUGGUCACCAGGCCCCGCUCUCCUUCAGAUGAAGGCCUCUGAGAGUACAGGUAACAGAAGUCUGGACUCUCCCGCUGUGUGAUCUUGGGGAGGUGUCUUGCCCUCUCUGUGCUUCAUGCUCCUUUUUCAUAAAAUGGGCUACUAUCUGCAGCAACUUUCUCUGCAAGGUCACUGUGGGGUGCACACAGCAAAGGCCUGUCACACGCCCAGAACAGGGGCCAGCCCAGAGUAAAUGCAUUAUUAGCAUCGACAGCAACAUACUCUCAUGUGUUUUCUGGGAAACCGUGAGACGGGGCAGGAGGAAAAUGAGAAUGGAAGAAGAAAUGCCUCGCUGAGAAUCACUCAGUGGGCAGUGCCCACACGUCAACAGGACAGAAGAGGCCACGGACGCGUCUCCAUUAAGAUCAGCAGUACCUGUCUUUCUCAUGAGCGCGCGCUCACGUGCACACACAGUGGGUCCGGCACAGGCACAAAUCAAGCCUGUGUUGGGAGGUUGAUGCUAGUGGGGAGGUCCCAUUGCCACCAGGUGAAGGGCUGGGACUUGCCCGGCUCAGGAGGCUCUGGGCGACACCACCCCGUUCCUGCCCACCCAGAACAGCCCACCUCGUGGACCUCCUCCCUCACUCUUCAUUCUCACCCGAAGCCGUCUGUCAGUUCUCCCAAUCCAGUCACUCCCUCCUGCCCCAGGGCCUUUACACGUGCCCUGCGCAGCCUGGAAUGCCCCCACCCCCUUACUCAAGCCCCACCUGGCGCGCGGGGCUCAGAUGUCAUCUCCCCAGCAGAGAGACCCCUUUGCGGGUUCCAUCUAGCCUGGUCUUCUCCACAGCACUGACCUCAACUGCACAGGAACAACUAGUGUGUGAGUUCUUGUCUGAGCUGCACACCCCCACCCCCAACCCAUGACGACCCGGCAGAGGUGCGGGCGGCCCGCUUCCAGAUGCGGCUCAGGGCUCAGCGCAGCUCAGCAUAUGCUGCUCACAGCGCGCGGCCAGACACGGAGGAAGGAAGGGACCGGGCACUGACUCGAGGAUGGGGCGGGAUGGCCUGGCCACUUUCAGACGCAGGGGGUUACGGACUGACAUGGUAGGAAUGAAUAUUGCGUUAGCUUCCUUUCUAGAACCCAAAUAAAUGUACCCCAAUGAUUUCAACAAACUUUUCAUCUAAGAGAAGCACAGGAGAGGAGGAGUUAAGUCGACACCUUCACAUGGUUGUGACAUAUGGAAUCAAUGAAACGGGGCGGGGGGUGGGUAACGUGGGAAGAAAUUGCCCCUGCACAGCCACGGGCUGAAGCACCAACCCCAGAAACCCAGAGAAAGCAAGGCCCAGGUGUCCCCACGAAGCCGUAAAAGGGGCUCACUGGCUGGAUGGGACCCACAGGCGGUGCCACCAGAAACCGGCUACAGUAACACACAUUCUCUCCCAUGGCUCCCCCACAACCACCCGGCCUCUGCGGAAGCUCUUCGAGACCUUCCCCCACCCCCCCAGCAGGAACCCAGGCGGUGGCGACAGUCCGCUCCAGAAGGGGCACACCCCGACCACCAGGCUCACCCCUCGCUCCUGGCGGUGCCAGGAUCCCUGGGCUGGAGCAGGUGACGGCUGCGCUCCUGCUUCCCACGGCCCCUCACCCGCCUCCGGCUGUAGGACGAAGAGCAAAUGAAGAAAGACCUUUAGCGGACGCCACACCAGGAACUUGGCAGGGCCUGAGAACACAUCAGGGAUGCCAGCUUCCCCAGAGCCGCCGGGCCUCUGCUCGCUCCAGCCGUGCUGACCAGUCCUGAAACUUGCCUUGUGAAAGGUCCCGUAAAAAGGAACAAAAGGGACCUUGUUGCAUAACCGGAGCCAGAUUCACAAGGAAGCACAGGGCCUGGUGGCAGCGCAAAGAUGUCCCUGCCAGGCUGGGGACUGGGAGGGGGCUCCAUGGAGGAGAUGGGCUGAAACACUUCUGCCCACUGUGUUUUUGUUUCUCCAGGAAAAGGGAGGGAAAAAUACAUUUAAAACCUUUUUCAAGGGCAACAGUUUAGCCACAUGCAGUUCAACCAUGAAGGCGUUCGUUUGUUCUCUCAUUCAUUCCCUCACUCACCAGCCAACCCACUGGCGGGGGGCAGUGCACCCCCUUCGGAAGCCUCAUGCCUGGGUCUGAGGCCCCAGCUGUCUGACCUCUGGAGAGUACCUCUUCGAGACUCAGUUUUCCCAUCUGGAAAGCGGGGGUGCCGGGAGGAUUAAAUAAGGAAACCCCUGCCGAGCUAAGAACAGCCCCGGGCAGGUCACAGGUGCUAAGCAGGUAUCAGCUCUGCAUUUGAACGCCAGGCAGGGAUUGGCCCCUGAAAUACACCCCCCCCCAAAGGCCCACCCCAAAGUAACCAGCCAAGACCGCAGCACCAUCCAGAGAAAUCCAACUCAGGGAAGAAAUUUUCCCCAAGUCCGACAGCCAGCGAGAAUACCAGCAACAAUUUCAGAUCAGGAUGGCCCACUUUAAGAAUUUCUGAAGACGGCCCACCUCAAGAAUCUUUUCUGAACACAAGAGCAGCGAUUACCAUGAGCUCCUAGAGAAACCUCACAGCCUCUGAAGCCAGGAAGCUAAGGUAACAUCAUGUUGCCCCCAAGCUCAACUAUCCGAAGCAAAGAUUUGUUCACGCUGAGAUCACGUCUGUGCUGCGUUGUCACCAAACACGCAGGUUCGGAGAUGCAUAAGCUGGUCUGAACCACGCAGAGGCGGAGGGAGGGAGGGAGGGGGCCCCGGGCAGGCUGUGGAGUCUAAGCUCUCACAGUCAAGUCUGAGGUCCCCAGAGGGGCCGGCCGGGCCGAGGUCCUCAGAAGCGCAGCCCCCAGCAAGCAGCGGCCGGGAGCCAGGGUCGGGCGCAGGCUUUCCAUGGAACUUCCACCACCCAGUCCAGCAGAGCGAGGACAGAGGCAAACAGGAGAGGUGCCAGGGACAGGCCCAGGGCCAAGUGCACAUGGAGGCCGCUACGGAUCCCUCAGGAGCAGGACUUACUGUGCUGGGGAGGGGCGCGCGGCCAGCUUCUCCUUCCAGAAGCAGCCCCUGCUCCUGUCUUGCUCCCUCCCUGAAGGUCAGCAGGAGAGAAGUUUCGGGCUUGGGCACAGGCCUGGGCCAGGGCGGGGACAUGGGGCUCCAGCCAAGGGCCGCCUGCCAGGGCCCAGCAGGACCUGGCGAGGGACCAGGAAGGACCGCACUGAGCAGGGGCUGCAUCCCCCUGGCCCAGCAGGCACCGAGCUGGCCCCUCGCCCCCCUAAGCUCCCUCAGGAAACCUCCUGUGUUCCCGAGAAGCCAGGAGUCCCUUAACCUCACAGGGGCCCGUCCACCGGCCUUCUGUCUUUUCUGAUUAGCCUGAAACCAAGAAACAAACACCAGAACAGUCAAAGCACAGCACUGGACCCCAAAGAAGCUGGACCCAAAGAGCAGGGCACAAAGAAGGGCUACCUCCAUUAGCUCCUGCACUUUCAUGCUCCUUGGGCUCCGAGUUGCCAGGAGGCCAAACAAAAAGGGAGGUGGUGGCUGGACACACGUCAGGCCAUGGGGACAACUGCGGCUUUCCAGGCGACCCAAGCUGUCUGAGGCUGGAUUCAAUUCUCUCGCUGGACACCCUGGGCUACAAGAGGAAGGGCAGGCAGCACCGGACAGUCGAGGACCCGCCCAGGCCCAGAGCCUUGUCCCCCACUUCCUGCUGUCUACACUGGAGGCUGUUGGGUGGAUUCCAGUAUUAAGUGGUCAGUUACGUCCCUUAAGUUGGGAAGGCGAUUCACCUGGGCUCAUGUUACCACUAUGUCUCACACGGGGAUUCUUUUAUGUUUAUCAGUUAUUCAGUUAUGUCGUAACGAGAAUAUUUCUUUGGAUGGAGGACCACAGGGCAGGGCGGGGAGGCCCGG
rnacentral:lncRNA from 1 species